rnacentral:rRNA from 1 species
GAUGAACGCUGGCGGCGUGCCUAAUACAUGCAAGUCGAGCGAACAGACGAGGAGCUUGCUCCUCUGACGUUAGCGGCGGACGGGUGAGUCACACGUGGAUAACCUACCUAUAAGACUGGGAUAACUUCGGGAAACCGGAGCUAAUACCGGAUAAUAUAUUGAACCGCAUGGUUCAAUAGUAAAAGACGGUUUUGCUGUAACUUAUAGAUGGAUCUGGGCCGCAUUAGCUAGUUGGUAAGGUCACGGGUUACCAAGGCGACGAUGCGUAGCCGACCUGAGAGGGGGAUCGGCCACACUGGAACUGGGACAGGGCCCAUGGUCCUACGGGAGGCAGCAGUAGGGAAUCUUCCGCAAUGGGCGAAAGCCUGACGGAGCAACGCCGCGUGAGUGAUGAAGGUCUUCGGAGCGUAAUACUCGGUUAUGAGGGAUGAACAAAUGUGUAAGGAACUAAGCACGUCUUGACGGUACCUGAUCAGAAAGCCACGGCUAACUACGUG